CUAUUAUUGAGCCUGAACCUGUGCCUGUUGAAGAUGUGAUUGAAGCUGCUGUAGCAGAGGACACUUCUGCACCACCACCAGAGCCUGAGCCUGAACCUGUGGCUGAACCUGAACCUGAACCUGAGCCAGAGCCUGUGGAGACUCCUGAGGUUGGUACAGUGAAACACUCUGUGCUCAAGGGAAACAGACAUAGACUUGCACAAAUACAAGUGUGAAGCUGCUGAUAACAUUUAGCGGGUGUGUUCCUUUUCAGGUGAUUGAGGAGGAUCCAGAGGUGCUGGAGGAGGAGGAUCCAGAGGUGCUGGAGGAGGAGGCUCCUGCUGUGGAGGAGGAGGAGGAGGAGGAGGAGGAGGAAGCCCCUGUAGAGGAGGCUGCUCCAGUUGAGGAGGAGCCAGCAGCUGGAGAGGUUGCAGAGGAGAUGAUGGCAGACCAGCCUCAAGAGGUCACAGAGGAGGCUGUGGAGGAGGCCGAGGAGGUGGCCGAUGAUGUAGAGAGUGCAGUGGCAGAAGAAGCUGUUGAGGAGGCUGCUCUUGCAGAAGAAGCUGUUGAAGAGCCUGCUGAAGAGGAGGCAGCACCUUCAGAAGCAGCUGUCGAGGAUGUAGCGGAAGAGGAGGUAGCUGAAGAAGAGGCAGCUCCUGCUGAGGAGCCUGCUGCAGAGGAGGCAUCUCCAGCAGAGGAAGCUGUUGAGGAUGCAGUAGCAGAAGCGGAGCCAGCACCUUCAGAAGAAGCUGAGGAGGAGGAGGCAGCAGUACCUUCAGACGAGCCAGCUGAUGAAGAGGAGGAUGCUCCUUUAGAAGAGGCUGCUGAGGAGCCCGCUGAAGAGGAGGCAGCUCCCUCAGAAGAGGCAGAGGAGGAGGAGGAGGCAGCAGCAGACACAGAGGCAACUCCAGAAGAAGUAGAGGAGCAGCAAACAGUACCAGUCACAGAGACAGAAGAAGAAGUAGCAGCAUACGAGGCAGAGGAGGCAGCAGAAGAAGAAGCAGAGUUUGCCGAGAUAGAGGAACAGAUUCAGGAUGAGCCCACAGAAACGUAG
rnacentral:lncRNA from 15 species